ACUUUCUUUAUCAUAAGAUGGGACUUAUAAAGUUUACGCACAACGACUUCGAUUUCGUCGAUAUAGAAGACAGUGAAAUUCUAAUCAUGAUAUAUUUUAGAUAAGUACAUAUAAUCAAUUGAAGUUUCUUAUUGAAUAAAACAUUAGAUUUUAUAGUUUAUAUCUGAAUCUGACAUUAUUCUUUAACGCAGAUAUAACUUGAAGAUUAAUCAUUUCAAAACUCUCUGCUUUGAACUACGUCGGCUACGCUUAAUAAAAAAAACCUCCAUACUAUCGAAUCGUACCAACUCUGGCCAUUUGGUGUUGCAUGUAAAAGUGAUGAAGAGAUCUGGGAAGCCAUGAUGCUUACAAACAGCCAUUGCAUCAAGAUACAUAUUUCGCAUAUAUCUAGGUCCACCUACGAAAGUAGCGGAUUCAUCUUCUGAGGUUUCGGAGUCAUGACAAUCACUACUGCUGGUGCAUUGUUCCAUGUCUAGGUACUGGAAUUUGGUUAGUUAAAUCACCAAGAACUGUCCUUGUCCUUACAGAAUCCCUAGUAGAACCUGGUUGGAAUCGAGAUCACAAAAUAUAAUAUAUAAAUCCAAUGCAAUUUGAGGAGAAGAUGCAUGCUCUGGGAGUUUCAUAAAACUUGCGCCAUGCAUAGGACUCUGAAUCAGAUCAGAGAAGACUCUUUUAAAAAUUGAUCUAACUUCAAUACUACUAUGAGGAUUGUCCUGUAGAUUGGGAUUUUUAUUCUCCUUAUCAAUAGGGGUAAUUUUCUAUUAUCAAAUCAUGGUACAUAAUUCUGACGGCGUUAUGUACGGCAAUUCAAAGGAUUGGACGAAACACUUACCGCUACAUCAGCCAAGAUCAUCUCGAUUGUCUCUCCAGUGUAAGUAGUGAACUGUUUCCAUGUGUGGACGAUCUUCACUCUUAUUUUCCAUGAUGUCUUGAAUGGUUUGAUGUCUGAUAGCUCGGUGAAACACUCCUUUGCUGCCAUUGUUUUUAAGUCGCUUUAGGUUUAAUGUGUAUGUGUAUUAGUAACAUAUGCUUGACUAUUUAUAGAUCGGCCUUUACUUGGUUGCAAAGAUAUGGCAUAUUCUCUAUGGCAUAUU